rnacentral:rRNA from 1 species
UGGGGAAUAUUGGACAAUGGGCGAAAGCCUGAUCCAGCAAUGCCGCGUGAGUGAUGAAGGCCUUAGGGUUGUAAAGCUCUUUUACCCGGGAUGAUAAUGACAGUACCGGGAGAAUAAGCCCCGGCUAACUCCGUGCCAGCAGCCGCGGUAAUACGGAGGGGGCUAGCGUUGUUCGGAAUUACUGGGCGUAAAGCGCACGUAGGCGGCUUUGUAAGUUAGAGGUGAAAGCCCGGAGCUCAACUCCGGAACUGCCUUUAAGACUGCAUCGCUUGAAUCAUGGAGAGGUCAGUGGAAUUCCGAGUGUAGAGGUGAAAUUCGUAGAUAUUCGGAAGAACACCAGUGGCGAAGGCGACUGACUGGACAUGUAUUGACGCUGAGGUGCGAAAGCGUGGGGAGCAAACA